rnacentral:rRNA from 1 species
AUGACGCAACCGCAUCUUCUUCCUUCACACCAUACCGAAACUCGUGGACGAGGAGUAUGUCGUCAUUACAUGGUUGUGGUCGACACUGCCGCAACAAGAAGAGCCACGAAAAAACACGCAGUCGAUCCCAAUGCAGUUCAUGUCAAGGUCAUCCCCUACUUUGCAAGUAACGAGAUUGAACUAGGUACGAAGAUACCGACGAUCGAAUCUCGGGCAAGUACCAUACCGACAGACAAAGGGAAUUACGUAUGUUGUCAUAAAGGUUCGGUCGAUAAAGAUCUUCGUAGAAUAUGUAGGAACCAAUAUGGGCAUCUAGGUUCCGUUAUUGGUUAUUGA